UAAGGAAUGUUGGACAAUGGAGGCAACUCUGAUCCAGCCAUGCCGCGUGAAGGAAUAAGGCCCUAUGGGUUGUAAACUUCUUUUAGACGGGACAAAACCCCUUCACGUGUAAAGGGUUGAUGGUACUGUCAGAAUAAGCAUCGGCUAACUUCGUGCCAGCAGCCGCGGUAAUACGAAGGAUGCAAGCGUUAUCCGGAAUUAUUGGGUUUAAAGGGUGCGUAGGCGGACUAAUAAGUCAGUGGUGAAAGCCUGCAGCUUAACUGCAGAAUUGCCAUUGAUACUGUUAGUCUUGAGUACAGUUGAGGUAGGCGGAAUGUGUCAUGUAGCGGUGAAAUGCUUAGAUAUGACACAGAACACCGAUUGCGAAGGCAGCUUGCUAAGCUGUAACUGACGCUGAGGCACGAAAGCGUGGGGAGCAAACA
rnacentral:rRNA from 1 species